rnacentral:lncRNA from 1 species
UUUAGGGAAAAAUGUUUUUUUAUGUGUGGGGUUGGGAAUCCUUCCUUGGUUUAGGGUGAAGUGUUGCUAAAGGAUUUUAAUUCUUAGUUGUUGUUCUUAGAUUUUGGCUAAAUUUGAAAAAAUUGCAAAACAAUUUUCUCUUUGGUUGCUUUUAGCUUUUAUUUUUUAUUUUUGGUUGGUGUCAGUCCAGUAAAGGUACAC